GGACAACUGUAGCUUUGGAGCAAGAAGUGACAGAGAACAAAAUCUCAGGGGACAGAGGCAAAUGCGUGUGGUUAGAUCACCAGGGAGUCCGAGUAGCACACACGAGAACAAUGAGGCGUGAAAGCAGCUCUUCUCACACACACAACACAGGAUCUGUAGGAUUCUGCCCGGAAACAGAGCACUCUGAUGUUCCUUAACUCUCCACCUGUGCCUGGGGUUAUCCCCAUGGCAGAGACAGAGGAGGAAGCCUCAGACAGCAGAAAGCUCACCCCCAGGUACCAGCUCAAGUCAGAAGCAGAAACCAGACCCCCAUCAGAUCUUGACGACCCCCGCAGGCCCCUUAAUGACCAUUUUCCCAACCCCAUGAGGUGACACGUUCUUUCCACAUAGAAAUGAGAAGAAACAAGUGAACCACCCUGAACACGAGAAUGUCACCAACUCUGAGUCACUUUCACUUUUCAAUAAAAGCAACUGCCA